rnacentral:sRNA from 1 species
UUUGAUAUAUUGAACACAUUUUGUUCUUGCACUUUAAAAUAUCCUUACUUUUUGUCUUUUUUACUUCUGUCCUCAAAACUGCGCACUUGAAAACCGAUAAAAUUCGCCUAAUAAAUUAACAAACGCAAACGGAGAAAUGUAUAAGGCAACGUAAGCUUUAUUGAUUUGCUUUUUAAUGGGAAGACUUUGAAUGCCGAAGAAAACGUGCAUACUACGAAGUUAAAGUUAUUCACGCGACGAUCACCCGAGUUAUACUAAAUGAAAUGGUGCAACAAAAUAUUCCUUCAACCCAACUUGCCAACACACACAGUAGAAUGAAUGGAAAGAACAUUUGUGGAGAACUUAUGUUGGAAUUGGAAUUUGAGUGAGCGGGGAGAGAGAGGAAGAGAGAGUAAACAGUAAAUAAAGCAGUGGAGCACUGAUUUGGGCGACUUGCACUUUGUAUGCAGCGAGACUUAGCAAAGGCAAACGAAAUAUGGAAACGGAAAAGAGCAAAUUUGCAUGGUUAGAAAAAACUUUUGUGCAUAGGAAUUUCAAGGUUGAAUUAUGGUGGAUUUAUGGAAUUUGUGGCUUUCUUGUAUUCAACUUAAAAAGAAAAUUUACAAAAUGUCAGAACUAAACCAUUUUAACAAUGAUGUUUCGAAUUAUAUUGUCAUAAAAAAUUAUUAAAGUUAAUACAUUUGUA